rnacentral:rRNA from 1 species
CGCUGUAAACGAUGGGUACUAGAUGUUGCAGGAAUUGACCCCUGCAGUGUCGUAGCUAACGCAUUAAGUACCCCGCCUGGGAAGUACGGCCGCAAGGUUAAAC